rnacentral:rRNA from 1 species
UAGGGAAUCUUCCACAAUGGACGAAAGUCUGAUGGAGCAACGCCGCGUGAGUGAAGAAGGAUUUCGGUUCGUAAAACUCUGUUGUAAGGGAAGAACAAGUACAGUAGUAACUGGCUGUACCUUGACGGUACCUUAUUAGAAAGCCACGGCUAACUACGUGCCAGCAGCCGCGGUAAUACGUAGGUGGCAAGCGUUGUCCGGAAUUAUUGGGCGUAAAGCGCGCGCAGGUGGUCCUUUAAGUCUGAUGUGAAAGCCCACGGCUCAACCGUGGAGGGUCAUUGGAAACUGGGGGACUUGAGUGCAGAAGAGGAAAGUGGAAUUCCAAGUGUAGCGGUGAAAUGCGUAGAGAUUUGGAGGAACACCAGUGGCGAAGGCGACUUUCUGGUCUGUAACUGACGCUGAGGCGCGAAAGCGUGGGGAGCAAACAGG